rnacentral:rRNA from 2 species
GGUUAAGCGACUAAGCGUACACGGUGGAUGCCCUGGCAGUCAGAGGCGAUGAAGGACGUGCUAAUCUGCGAUAAGCGUCGGUAAGGUGAUAUGAACCGUUAUAACCGGCGAUUUCCGAAUGGGGAAACCCAGUGUGAUUCGUCACACUAUCAUUAACUGAAUCCAUAGGUUAAUGAGGCGAACCGGGGGAACUGAAACAUCUAAGUACCCCGAGGAAAAGAAAUCAACCGAGAUUCCCCCAGUAGCGGCGAGCGAACGGGGAGCAGCCCAGAGCCUGAAUCAGUGUGUGUGUUAGUGGAAGCGUCUGGAAAGGCGUGCGAUACAGGGUGACAGCCCCGUACACAAAAAUGCACAUACUGUGAGCUCGAUGAGUAGGGCGGGACACGUGGUAUCCUGUCUGAAUAUGGGGGGACCAUCCUCCAAGGCUAAAUACUCCUGACUGACCGAUAGUGAACCAGUACCGUGAGGGAAAGGCGAAAAGAACCCCGGCGAGGGGAGUGAAAAAGAACCUGAAACCGUGUACGUACAAGCAGUGGGAGCACGCUUAGGCGUGUGACUGCGUACCUUUUGUAUAAUGGGUCAGCGACUUAUAUUCUGUAGCAAGGUUAACCGAAUAGGGGAGCCGAAGGGAAACCGAGUCUUAACUGGGCGUUAAGUUGCAGGGUAUAGACCCGAAACCCGGUGAUCUAGCCAUGGGCAGGUUGAAGGUUGGGUAACACUAACUGGAGGACCGAACCGACUAAUGUUGAAAAAUUAGCGGAUGACUUGUGGCUGGGGGUGAAAGGCCAAUCAAACCGGGAGAUAGCUGGUUCUCCCCGAAAGCUAUUUAGGUAGCGCCUCGUGAAUUCAUCUCCGGGGGUAGAGCACUGUUUCGGCAAGGGGGUCAUCCCGACUUACCAACCCGAUGCAAACUGCGAAUACCGGAGAAUGUUAUUACGGGAGACACACGGCGGGUGCUAACGUCCGUCGUGAAGAGGGAAACAACCCAGACCGCCAGCUAAGGUCCCAAAGUCAUGGUUAAGUGGGAAACGAU